rnacentral:rRNA from 1 species
UACGUAGGUGGCAAGCGUUGUCCGGAUUUACUGGGCGUAAAGCGCCCGCAGGCGGCUUGUUAAGUUCAAGGUGAAAUCUCCCGGCUUAACUGGGAGGGUGCCUCGAAAACUGGCAGGCUUGAGGUGAGGAGAGGGAUGCGGAAUUCCAGGUGUAGCGGUGAAAUGCGUAGAUAUAGGAAGGAACACCAGUGGCGAAGGCGACCACCUGGACUGAUACUGACACUGAGGUGCGAAAGCGUGGGGAGCAAACAGGAUUAGAAACCCGGGUAGU